rnacentral:lncRNA from 1 species
CCCUAUGAAAUAUGCCCAACCCAACCCAAAUAUUUCAUAGCAACUUUUUUAUUUUGGCAGCAAACCCAAGCUCGACAAAAGUCCAGUCCACAAGUAGGAACAUGCUAGAAUUAGGUCCAUAGAUUAUAAGAAUCCAGCCAUGUCAAGCAGUUUUCAACUAAAACUUGAUUGCUUCCCAUAAAAGAUUUUAUCCGUGUAAGGUUGGUCAACAACUCAAGCCCAUUUCUGGCC